ensembl:lncRNA
GGUUGCUGCAAGGGGCUAAGUGACAUCCCCAAAGAGGACUAGUGUCAAUACUCAAUAGAGAAAAGCAGACCCCCGGUAGAUUUAUGGCUUUGAUUUUGAAAAGGUGUGGGAAUGCCCUGGGAUGUGUUCACCCACACUCCUUUUGAAUGUUAAUGUUUUCUUGAAGAUGAUUUCAGACACACUGCUAGGAUACUGCCUCUACUCACUGAAGCAGAAGCCUCUGAAGAGUUGCUGAGGCAGAACUGAAAUCAUGGCUCGUCUCAGAGAAGCAGCUGUACUGGCCGCUAAGGAUGCCUCACACAGAAAGACGAUGCUCCUUUAACUCGGGGAUUUUAAUGGGAAGUUUCUAAGCCUGAAACAACAGCUUCGGAUCUGGGGUGUGCCAUCAGCUGCUUGCAGCUACCACUGUCUACAGCUUUAGCACAAGCCUGGUCGGGAAGAAUGGAAACGAAAGAGGCUCGUAACUACCUGUAACUGUUCCACCAGGAAAUGGAUCAAGUGUUUGUUCAACCAGAUCCAGCCUCUUCAAGGUUCAGCCACCAUGAGCUCAACAGGCUGAUGAUGGAAAAGAAGGGACUGUGUGUUCCAGCUUCCCUGGACGAUGGAUGGAGGCCAGCCCGUCCCUUCACCCCUGGUGCCCCUUGGGAAUGUGUCAUCGGAUGCUAGCAUGUCUCUGGAGCAGAAAACCACGUUCGUUUUUGUGAUUUUGUUGUUUAUUUUCUUGGGCAUCCUUAUUGUCAGGUGCUUCAGGAUUCUUCUGGAUCCGUAUCGGAGCAUGCCAACCUCAACCUGGGCUGACGGACUGGAAGGCCUAGAGAAAGGGCAAUUUGACCAUGCCCUGGCCUAGCAGGACAGGGGCAGGAGCCUGUCAUGAGGAGGAGGAGUGCUUCACGUCUUGGAAAGGGACUCUCUUUAGUCAGUGUUCUCAGCAACUCAAAUUUUAACUGUACCUAGUUGGAGGACCACAACUAGUAUCAGUAAACAUCUGAGGAUACUGGAGAUGGAGGUUUACAUCACUCACCCCAAAGAGGAAGGUUUAAAUUUCUGUAUUUACUCAAUGAUCGAAGGCUGCUGAAUGUGUAUGAUGGUGAAACCAAGAGCAUCAAUAGUGACUUGGUCUAAAAUGAAGCCCUCUGGGACCUGACCAGAGAAAAAGACUAGGAAGGACCUGUUCUGACUCUGGUGACAGGACCAAAAGAGGCUUCCUCACUCUAAUUAUGUCUCUCAGUUUGUUUUACUUUCAUGGGACUCUGAGUCCUAGGCAGAGAAUGAGGAAGCAGUUGCUGAAUGGACCCAAAGCAGGUACUUGUUUUCUCCUAAAGCGAAGAGCAUUGAGGGUGAUGGGAAUGCCUAGAAGAGGUUUUUCUGUCCUACCUCUUCUGGAAAAUAUGAGUGAGGGUGAUAUCAUCUUAUAUUUCAUGUACAACUGAAUUCAAAGUCUUAUGGAUGUUCUAAAACUCUGUACCAAGCCAAGUACAUUCUGUAUAUUCAUAUCAAUAACAUGUGUAGAGGUAGCUAUACAUAAUGUGACUUUAACUUUCUUUGCACAAUUGAUUGAAAUAAUAGGUUGCAAGUGCUGCUCCAAGCUGGGGUUUUGGUUUUUUUGUUUUGCUUUGUUUUUUGAUAAAAAGGUAAUUGUUUAGAGAAGACUUAUAUAGUCUUAAGAGGCAUGUGUGUUUAUGGCUGAAUAUAGAAACCAAAUAAAACUUUUCAAGAGAC